rnacentral:tRNA from 1 species
UGGCUCAGUUAGUAGAGCGUGGUGCUUGCAACCCCAGUGUUGUGGGUUUGAUUCCCAC